GUUUUUGUGUCGACGCAUUCGUGUCUCUGUAGAUGGCCAGUACACAACAAUAUAAAGAUAACUCAGUUGAAAAAGAAAUGAACGGAAUAACCAUGGUUGAUUAUGUUUGCCAGAGAUGCAAAUACAGAUUCACCGAAAAAUACUAUUUCCUCUUACGUGAUUGUCCGCAGUGCAAACUUACGCACGGAUGUCAUGCCAUUAAAACUGCUCAAAACAGGUGGUAUGCAGCCCAAAAUGAAUGAUCGCAACGUUUAAAGCUUUCAAAAAACCAUUUUCCCACUUAUUGCUGAACAAAAGUGAAAUAGCUUAUCACAAGCAAU